UUAAAAUAGGAAACACUAUUUGUGACACCUGAUUCUAUAUCAAAAUCAUUUUAAUUUUCUUAUAACCAGUAUAGGUGCAUUUUUUAAAAUCCAAUCACAACCCACAUAGUUGAAAAUACAUAUUAAAAGUGCUCUUCAUUAGCUAAUUUUUAUCACAUCAAAUAUGAAGACCUUAAGAAUCUAUUUUAGUUAAUUUUGCAUAAGAUGAACAAUUUCAAACAUAAUUUUUAAUCAAAUGAAUAUUUCUUAUCAGCAAAAAUGUAUCGGAUGUAAUGAUUUAGCACGGGUCUUUUAACCAAAAGUCUGUAUAGCUUACCUGAUCACCAUUUUUCUUUGAUCAUAAUGUCCGUUAUACUUGUUGUCUACAGAAUUUGGUAACUUGUGAACUUGAUUGAAAAUUGAAUUAUUGACACCUCUGCAGGUAUCGAGAUCAUUGCCAUCACCACAAAUUGAUAGUUGGUAGUUCAGCUUCAUUGAAUGAAAUAUAUUUACUUAAAUUUCAGUAUACAAGGAAUCUGUUCACUGAAAUUCCAAGAAGAUUCCAUGACUUGCUUGCCAUACAACAAACAACAGAAUAUGGACGUGAUUCCUAGAAUAAGAACUUGAAUGGGUCAGACUUGAAUACAUGCAAAGUCAUGUAGCAAUAUUAAAGGUGUUGUACUUCAGGAAAAGGGGAAGCGUAUUUGUUGGAAGAUGGAUAAAGAAAAAUUGGAGCAUGCACUAGACUUCUUUAAAUCCUGCUUUUUUAUCAGGUAACAUCAUUGAGUACAAAAGAAAUGUACCUUCACAGCAGACAACUUAUAACCUUUCGACAAGAAAUUGGGACUGCCUGCCAUUCAACCAUUGUACAUAUAUGAAUUUACCAGUCCUGUUGUGAAGAAACUUAUUUCAUCAUCUUUCAAGGGCCAUGUUAUUUAGGAUUUUAACUACUUGUCCUGCAUCACAAGCUUAAAAAGACUUCACAAUCUGGCUGCAGAUGGAACUGCAUGGUUUGAAAUCCUCAUAGGAAUUCUGAGAAGCAUGGAGGCCUAUUAACCAGAUAAUGAGAUUGUUAUGAGAUUGAUCACUGUACGUUAUCUUCACCUUGGAUAAUGACAAGAUUUCAUAGCUGGAGGAGUACCAGGAAAAUUUACUUGCAGCAAAAUUGUACAUAAAGAGAGACUCACUCAAGCAUGAAUGUAGAAUAAUUAUAAAGAUACA